GAUCUUUAAAAUUCUCUUCUGCUCUUUUCCUCCCUGGCUGCUUGAAGAUCAGCCGCCAUCAUGAACGACACAGUAACUAUCCAGACUAGGAAGUUCAUGACCAACCGACUGCUUCAGCGGAAACAAAUGGUCAUGGAUGUUCUUCACCCUGGAAAGGCAACAGUACCUAAAACAGAAAUUCGGGAAAAACUGGCCAAAAUGUACAAGACCACACCAGAUGUCAUCUUUGUAUUUGGAUUCAGAACUCAUUUUGGUGGUGGCAAGACAACUGGCUUCGGCAUGAUUUACGAUUCCUUGGAUUACGCGAAGAAGAAUGAGCCCAAACAUAGGCUUGCAAGACAUGGCCUGUAUGAGAAGAAAAAGACCUCAAGAAAACAGCGAAAGGAACGCAAGAACAGAAUGAAGAAAGUCAGGGGGACUGCAAAGGCCAACGUUGGUGCUGGUAAAAAGUGAGCUGGAGAUUGGACAACAGAAGGAGUAAAGAUUCUGCAGUGACUGUAUCUGUGGUGAUUGUGCAGAUUUUUCAUGAAAGAGAAAAUAAACUAAGACCUUUUACAAAAAA